GAUGAACGCUGGCGGCGUGCCUAAUACAUGCAAGUCGAGCGAACAGAUGAGGAGCUUGCUCCUCUGACGUUAGCGGCGGACGGGUGAGUAACACGUGGAUAACCUACCUAUAAGACUGGGAUAACUUCGGGAAACCGGAGCUAAUACCGGAUAAUAUAUUGAACCGCAUGGUUCAAUAGUGAAAGACGGUUUUGCUGUCACUUAUAGAUGGAUCCGCGCCGCAUUAGCUAGUUGGUAAGGUAACGGCUUACCAAGGCGACGAUGCGUAGCCGACCUGAGAGCGUGAUCCGCCACACUGGAACUGAGACACGGUCCAGACUCCUACGGGAGGCAGCAGUAGGGAAUCUUCCGCAAUGGGCGAAAGCCUGACGGAGCAACGCCGCGUGAGUGAUGAAGGUCUUCGGAUCGUAAAACUCUGUUAUUAGGGAAGAACAAAUGUGUAAGUAACUAUGCACGUCUUGACGGUACCUAAUCAGAAAGCCACGGCUAACUACGUG
rnacentral:rRNA from 1 species